UACAGAGGUCCCGAGCGUUGUUCGGAUUCACUGGGCGUAAAGGGUGCGUAGGUGGUGAGGUAAGUCGGAUGUGAAAUCUCCGGGCUCAACCCGGAAAUGGCAUUGGAAACUACCUUGCUGGAGGAUUUGAGGGGGGAUUGGAAUACUUGGUGUAGCAGUGAAAUGCGUAGAUAUCAAGUGGAACACCAGUGGCGAAGGCGAAUCCCUGGAAAAUACCUGACACUGAGGCACGAAGGCUAGGGGAGCAAACAGG
rnacentral:rRNA from 1 species